CCUACGGGAGGCAGCAGUGGGGAAUUUUGCGCAAUGGGCGAAAGCCUGAUCCAGCAACGCCGCGUGCGGGAUGACGGCCUUCGGGUUGUAAACCGCUUUAGUCCGGGAAAAAGGGGUGCGAGGAUAAUACCCUCGUGCUUUGAUGGUACUGGAAGAAUAGCACCGGCUAACUACGUGCCAGCAGCCGCGGUAAU
rnacentral:rRNA from 1 species